rnacentral:rRNA from 1 species
AAAGAAAAUAACAAUGAUUCCCCUAGUAACGGCGAGCGAAAGAGGGAAUAGCUCAAAUUUUAAAUCUGUUGGGUCUUACCUAACCGAGUUGUAAUUUGAAGAAGCGUUUUCUGCGUGUUUGAUUUAGCCCAAAUCCUUUGGGAUAAGGUAUCAUGGAGGGUGAGAAUCCCGUCCGGCCUAAUCAAAUGUGCUUUACGAUACGUUUUCUAAGAGUCGAGUUGUUUGGGAUUGCAGCUCAAAAUUGGAGGUAAAUUUCUCCUAAGGCUAAAUAUAGGCGAGAGACCGAUAGCGAACAAGUACCGUGAGGGAAAGAUGAAAAGAACUUUGAAAAGAGAGUUAAACAGUACGUGAAAUUGUUGAAAGGGAAACGAUUAAAGUCAGUCGUACUAACGGGGAAUCAACCUUUUGAGGGUGGAAUUGUGGGAUUCAGAGUGCCUUUGUCUUUCACAACCUGCUUUUUUUGGGUGCACUUUCUCGUAUUGUAGGUCAGCAUCGGUUUCGACCGUUAUAAAAUGACUGGAGGAAUGUAGCUUCGAUCUCGUAUUGAAGUGUUAUAGCCUUUGGUAGAUGUAACGGAUGGGAUCGAGGAUUGCAAUGAAUACCCUCAUGGGCUAUCCGCCUGGCCUCUGACAUGUCACUCUGGUGCCGAAAGCUUGCUUAUGGUAUUAUAGUGUACGGUCAAAAGGUUAGAACGGAUUAAAUU